rnacentral:ncRNA from 1 species
CAGAGUAGGGCCCGCAGCGUGAAGUGCUUCCGGAACGGGGAGUUGAACGGAGGACGAAGGCAGACGCCGCGGUUACGGGCCCGCACCCGCUG